rnacentral:rRNA from 1 species
GACGAAGGUGGCAAGCGUUGUUCGGUAUCACUGGGCUUAAAGCGUGUGUAGGCGGAAAAGUAAGCGUUCUGUGAAAGCCCCCGGCUUAACCGGGGAAUUGCGCAACGAACUGCUUUUCUUGAGGCAAGUAGGGGUGCAUGGAACUCUUGGUGGAGCGGUGGAAUGCGUAGAUAUCAAGAGGAACGCCAGUGGAGAAAUCGGUGCACUGGGCUUGUCCUGACGCUGAGACACGAAAGCGUGGGGAGCGAACGGGAUUAGAUACCCCCGUA